GGCCCUACGGGGUGCAGCAGGCGCGAAAACUUUACAAUGCUGGGAACAGCGAUAAGGGAACCUCGAGUGCCAGGUUACAAAUCUGGCUGUCGUGAUGCCUAAAAAGCAUUAUAUAGCAAGGGCCGGGCAAGACCGGUGCCAGCCGCCGCGGUAACACCGGCGGCUCGAGUGGUAACCGUUAUUAUUGGGUCUAAAGGGUCUGUAGCCGGCCGGAUAAGUCUCUUGGGAAAUCUGGCAGCUCAACUGUCAGGCUUUCAGGGGAUACUGUCUGGCUCGAGGCCGGGAGAGGUGAGAGGUACUUCAGGGGUAGGGGUGAAAUCUUGUAAUCCUUGAAGGACCACCAGUGGCGAAGGCGUCUCACCAGAACGGACCUGACGGCAAGGGACGAAAGCUAGGGGCACGAACCGGAUUAGAUGCCCGGGUAGUCCUAGCCGUAAACGAUACUCGCUAGGUGUCGGCCACGGUGCGACCGUUGUCGGUGCCGUAGGGAAGCCGUGAAGCGAGCCACCUGGGAAGUACGGCCGCAAGGCUGAAACUUAAAGGAAUUGGCGGGGGAGCACCACAACGGGUGGAGCUUGCGGUUUAAUUGGAUUCAACGCCGGAAAUCUUA
rnacentral:rRNA from 1 species